ACACUGAUGGUGAAGCGGUUAUCAUGCUUGCCUUCCAUGUGUCCAGCAAGCGGCAGGGGUUCGACUCCCCUUCAGUGUA